GACGAACCGUGCGAACGUUAUUCGGAAUCACUGGGCUUAAAGGGCGCGUAGGCGGGUCCCCAAGUCCGGGGUGAAAUCCCACGGCCCAACCGUGGAAGUGCCUUGGAUACUGGAGACCUCGAGGGGGAUAGGGGCGUGCGGAACUCAGGGUGGAGCGGUGAAAUGCGUAGAUAUCCUGAGGAACACCGGUGGCGAAAGCGGCGCGCUGGAUCCCUUCUGACGCUGAGGCGCGAAAGCCAGGGGAGCAAACGGG
rnacentral:rRNA from 1 species